rnacentral:rRNA from 1 species
UACGUAGGGUGCGAGCGUUGCCCGGAUUUAUUGGGCGUAAAGGGCGCGUAGGCGGUGCCGUACGUCCGUUGUGAAAUCGCUCGGCUCAACUGGGCGGGGUCAGCGGAUACGGUGGCACUUGAGCAAGCUAGGGGGCAAUGGAAUUCCCGGUGUAGUGGUGGAAUGCGUAGAUAUCGGGAGGAACACCGAUGGCGAAGGCAGCCCCCUGGGAUGUGACUGACGCUCAUGUACGAAAGCGUGGGGAGCAAACAGG